CCUACGGGGGGCUGCAGUGGGGAAUUUUGGACAAUGGGGGCAACCCUGAUCCAGCCAUUCCGCGUGAGUGAAGAAGGCCUUCGGGUUGUAAAGCUCUUUCGGCCGGGAAGAAAUCGUGCGGGCCAAUACUCUGUAUGGAUGACGGUACCGGAAGAAGAAGCACCGGCUAACUACGUGCCAGCAGCCGCGGUAAUACGUAGGGUGCGAGCGUUAAUCGGAAUUACUGGGCGUAAAGGGGGAGCAGGCGGUUGAACUCCCCGGGCUUAACCUGGGAACUGCGCUUGUGACUGCAAGACUAGAGUGCGGCAGAGGGUGGUGGAAUUCCACGUGUAGCAGUGAAAUGCGUAGAGAUGUGAAGGAACACCGAUGGCGAAGGCAGCCCCCUGGGUCGACACUGACGCUCAUGCACGAAAGCGUGGGGAGCAAACAGGAUUAGAUACCCCUGUAGUC
rnacentral:rRNA from 1 species